GCCGGGUGUGGUGGCGGGUGCCUGUAGUCCCAGCUACUGGGGAGGCUGAGGCAGGAGAAUGGCGUGAACCCAGGAGGUGGAGCUUACUGUGAGCCAAGAUCGCGCCACUGCACUCCAGCCUGGGUGACACAGUGAGUCCAUCUCAAAAGUAAAAAUAAAACUAUGUGUAGAUUAUUUAGAAUUUUCUUUUUUUUUUUGAGACAGAGUCUCACUCUGUCACCCAGGCUGGAGUGCAGUGGCGCGAUCUUGGCUCACAGUAAGCUCCACCUCCUGGGUUCACGCCAUUCUCCUGCCUCA
rnacentral:SRP_RNA from 1 species